rnacentral:rRNA from 1 species
GGCAACAGCUCAAAUUUGAAAUCUGCCCGCAAGGGCCGAGUUGUAAUUUAGAGAAGUGUUACCCGUGCUGGGCCGUGUACAAGUCUCCUGGAAUGGAGCGUCAUAGAGGGUGAGAAUCCCGUCUUUGACACGGAAUCCAGUACAUUGUGGUGCGCUCUCAAA